rnacentral:rRNA from 1 species
AACGAACGUUGGCGGCGUGGAUUAGGCAUGCAAGUCGCGGGAAUGCCCAGCAAUGGGUGGAACCGGCGUAAGGGGCAGUAAUGCGUGGGUACCUGCCGCAGGGUUGGGCAUAGCCCGUAGAGAUACGGGGUAAUUCCCAACGAUGUCGUAAGACCAAAGCUCCGGCGCCCUGUGAGGGGCCCACGUGAUAUUGGCUAGUUGGUGAGGUAACGGCUCACCAAGGCGUAGAUGACUAGCGGGUGUGAGAGCACGACCCGCGCCACUGGCACUGAGACACUGGCCAGACACCUACGGGUGGCUGCAGUCGAGGAUCUUCGGCAAUGGGCGCAAGCCUGACCGAGCGACGCCGCGUGGGCGAUGAAGGCCUUCGGGUUGUAAAGCCCUGUCGAGGGGGAGAAAAGCGCAAGCUUGAUCUAUCCCUGGAGGAAGCACGGGCUAAGUUCGUGCCAGCCGCCGCAGUAAAAC